UACGUAGGCAGCAAGCGUUGUUCGGAGUUACUGGGCGUAAAGGGUGUGUAGGCGGUCUUCUAAGUUUGGUGUGAAAAUCUCCCGGCUCAACCUCGAGACGUCGACGGAAACCAUCUGGCUAGAGUCCGGAAGAGGAGAGUGGAAUUCCUGGUGUAGCGGUGAAAUGCGCAGAUAUCAGGAAGAACACCCGUGGCGAAGGCGGCUCUCUGGGACGGUACUGA
rnacentral:rRNA from 1 species